GACGAACGCUGGCGGCGUGCUUAACACAUGCAAGUCGAACGGAAAGGCCCCUUUGGGGGUACUCGAGUGGCGAACGGGUGAGUAACACGUGAGUAACCUGCCCUUGACUUCGGGAUAACUUCAGGAAACUGGGGCUAAUACCGGAUAGGAAUCCUUGCUGCAUGGUGGGGGUUGGAAAGCUUCGGCGGUUUUGGUUGGACUCGCGGCUUAUCAUCUUGUUGGUGGGGUAGUGGCUUACCAAGGCUUUGACGGGUAGCCGGCCUGAGAGGGCGAACGGCCACAUUGGGACUGAGAUACGGCCCAGACUCCGACGGGAGGCAGCAGUGGGGAAUAUUGCACAAUGGGCGGAAGCCUGAUGCAGCAACGCCGCGUGCGGGAGGACGGCCUUCGGGUUGGAAACCGCUUUCAGCAGGGGCGAAGCUUGUGGUGACGGUACCUGCAGAAGAAGCACCGGCUAACUACGUG
rnacentral:rRNA from 1 species